rnacentral:rRNA from 1 species
GGGCACGUAGGCGGACAAAUAAGUUUGAUGUCAAAUAUGAUGGCUCAACCAUCAAGAGGCGUUGAAAACUGUUUAUCUAGAAUCUCGGAGAGGUAAGUGGAAUUCCAUGUGUAGCGGUGGAAUGCGUAGAUAUAUGGAGGAACACCAAUGGCGAAGGCAGCUUACUGGACGAAGAUUGACGCUGAGGUGCGAAAGCGUGGGUAGCAAACAGGAUUAGAUACCCUGGUAG